CGUUCCAGUUGCAUGCUGACUCAGAUUGAACGCUGGCGGGAUGCUUUACAUACAAGUCAGACGGCGGCACCGGACUUCGGUCUGGUGGCGAGUGGCGAACAGGUGAGUGACUAUCCGGAACGUGCCUAGUGGCGGGGAUAACUACGCGAAAAUCGCUGUACCCGCAUACGCCCUUCAGGAGGAAAGCGGGGGCCUUCGGGCCUCGCGCACUACUAGAGCGGCCGAUAUCAGUUAACUUAGUUGGUGGGGUAACGGCUCACCCAAAGACGACGAUCCAUGCGGCGCUGGUUUGAGAGGACGACCAGCCACACGGGACUGAGACACGGCCCAGACUCCUACAAGGAGAACAGCAGUGGGGGCCCCGGACAAUGGAAACCCUGAUCCAGCCAUCCGCGUGUGCGAUGAAGGCCUUCCGGGUUUGUAAAGCACUUUGGCAGAAGAAGCAGCACGGGAUAUUACCCGUGCAACUGACGGUACCUGCAGAAUAAGCACCGGCUAACUACGUGCCAGCAGCCGCGGUAAUACGUGAGGUGCAAGCGUUAAUCAGAUUACUGGGCGUAAAGCGUUACGCAGGCGGUUCGGAAAGAAAGAUGUUGAAAUCCCCGGAAGCAACACUGGAACUGCAUUUUUAACUUUACCGAGCUAAGAGUGUGUCAGAGGAGGUGGAAUUCCGCGUGUAGCAGUGAAAUGCGUGAAUAUGCCGGAGGAACACCGAUGGCGAAGGCAGCGUCGCAAGGAUAACAUGAGCGCCAUGCGCAGGCGUGGGGAGCAAACGGGAUUAGAUACCCACGGUAGUCCACGCCACUAUGAAGGCGAUGGUGUCUUAAAAUCUUACCACAGGGUUUAGGUGAGCUUUAUGUUCCCAAAUUUCUGUGUCUUUGUGAGAGUUAUUGCUCAAGAUUGUGAUUAUAAAUUGAACUCAGAGAGGGUGUGACGGGGACCCGCUGAAGCGGUGGAUGAUGUGGAUUAAUUCGAUGCAACGCGAAAAACCUUACCUACGCCCGGCAUGUCUGGAAUCCGAAGAGAGAUUGGGAGUGCUCGCAAGAGAACCGGAACGGUUGCCGCAUGGCUGUCGUCGGGCUCGUGUCGUGAGAUGUUGGGUUGGAAGUCUACAACGAGCGCAACCCUUGUCAUUAGUUGCUACGAAGGGCACUCGCCUGAAUAUGAGACUGCCAGUGACAAACCGGAAGGUGGGGAUGACGUCAAGUCUCAUGGCCCAUAUGGGUGAAGACUUCACACGUCAUACAAUGGUCAGGACAGUUAUCCAACCCCGCGAGGGAGACCAAUCCCAGAAACCCGAUCGUAGUCGGAUCGCAGUCUGCAACUCGACUGCGUGAAGUCCAGAGAUCUUGUGUCGCGGAUCAGCAUGUCGCGGUGAAUACGUUCCGGGUCUUGUACACCGCCCGUCACACCAUGGGAGUGGGUUUUACCAGAAGUAGUUAGCCUAACCGUAAGGAGGGCGAUUACCACGGUAGGAUUCAUGACUGGGGUGAAGUCGCUCAACAAGGUAG
rnacentral:rRNA from 1 species